AGGCAGAGAUAUCCUUGGAGACAGUUUGUGGGGAACCAAGAUUGACUACUUAAAAAAAGUUUCCACUGUGCAAAAGGAUUUUCUUUCACAUGCUCCUUCAGAUGUGCAGAGCAAGCAGCAGGAGAAGUCCUUGGUGCCAUCUAUCCUUGCAAUAAAUUGCCCAAAGGAGAACUGCAGUGCAUAAAUCUA